GAUGAACGCUGGCGGCGUGCCUAAUACAUGCAAGUCGAGCGAACAGACGAGGAGCUUGCUCCUCUGACGUUAGCGGCGGACGGGUGAGUAACACGUGGAUAACCUACCUAUAAGACUGGGAUAACUUCGGGAAACCGGAGCUACUACCGGAUAAUAUAUUGAACCGCAUGGUUCAAUAGUGAAAGACGGUUUUGCUGUCACUUAUAGAUGGAUCCGCGCCGGAUUAGCUAGUUGGUAAGGUAACGGCUUACCAAGGCAACGAUGCGUAGCCGACCUGAGAGGAUGAUCGGCCACACUGGAACUGAGACACGGUCCAGACUCCUACGGGAGGCAGCAGUAGGGAAUCUUCCGCAAUGGGCGAAAGCCUGACGGAGCAACGCCGCGUGAGUGAUGAAGGUCUUCGGAUCGUAAAACUCUGUUAUUAGGGAAGAACAAAUGUGUAAGUAACUAUGCACGUCUUGACGGUACCUAAUCAGAAAGCCACGGCUAACUACGUG
rnacentral:rRNA from 1 species